rnacentral:rRNA from 1 species
GAUGAACGCUGGCGGCGUGCCUAAUACAUGCAAGUCGAGCGAACAGAUGAGGAGCUUGCUCCUCUGACGUUAGCGGCGGACGGGUGAGUAACACGUGGAUAACCUACCUAUAAGACUGGGAUAACUUCGGGAAACCGGAGCUAAUACCGGAUAAUAUAUUGAACCGCAUGGUUCAAUAGUGAAAGACGGUUUUGCUGUCACUUAUAGAUGGAUCCGCGCCGCAUUAGCUAGUUGGUAAGGUAACGGCUUACCAAGGCAACGAUGCGUAGCCGACCUGAGAGGGUGCUCGGCCACACUGGAACUGAGACACGGUCCAGACUCCUACGGGAGGCAGCAGUAGGGAAUCUUCCGCAAUGGGCGAAAGCCUGACGGAGCAACGCCGCGAGAGUGAUGAAGGUCUUCGGAUCGUAAAACUCUGUUAUUAGGGAAGAACAAAUGUGUAAGUAACUAUGCACGUCUUGACGGUACCUAAUCAGAAAGCCACGGCUAACUACGUG